AAAGUGCGAUAAGCAAUGCGAAUUGCAGAAUUCCGCGAAUCAUCAGAUCCUUGAACGCAACUGGCGCUAGGGGGCUCUCCCUCUAGCAUGUCUGUUUCAGUGUCUGAAAACAUCAUAAUUUAUCUUAAUGUGGUUGACAAAGGUAGGUUUCCUACCUAAGUCUUCUAUUAAAGAUGACAUGUGUGGGGUCUUUGGACUCCUCAUCGAAUUUGGUCACUGGUCUCUUCAGUGAUUUCGAUAAGGAGAAGAAAGAGUGGGUACUCCCUCUCUUUUAUUUAAUCCAAUCAUCCUUUCUUCUUUAAAGAAGAAACACAUGUGCACCCCUUGAUUGAUUGAAAACCUACUGAAUAAGUAUGGUUCUUCAUCAUCAUCUCUUUCUUCAAACUCUGCAUCUGAAAUC
rnacentral:misc_RNA from 1 species